rnacentral:rRNA from 1 species
UACAGAGGGGGCAAGCGUUAUUCGGAAUUAUUGGGCGUAAAGGGCGCGUAGGCGGCAUUGCAAGUCGAAUGUGAAAUCCCUCGGCUUAACCAAGGAAGUGCAUCCGAAACUGCAGUGCUUGAGUACUUAAGAGGAUCGCGGAAUUCUCGGUGUAGAGGUGAAAUUCGUAGAUAUCGGGAGGAACACCAGUGGCGAAGGCGGCGAUCUGGGAAGAUACUGACGCUGAGGUGCGAAGGCGUGGGGAGCAAACAGG